rnacentral:rRNA from 1 species
CCUACGGGAGGCAGCAGUGGGGAAUUUUGCGCAAUGGGGGUAACCCUGACGCAGCAACGCCGCGUGAGUGAUGAGGGCUUUCGGGUCGUAAAGCUCUGUCAAGAGGGAAGAAGUGUAUGAAGGUUAAUACCCUUUAUACUUGACGGUACCUCUAAAGGAAGCACCGGCUAACUCCGUGCCAGCAGCCGCGGUAAU